CCGUCGAUAGCUCAGUUGGUAGAGCGGUAGACUGUAGAGGGAACGAUUGCUGGCAUCCAUAGGUCGCUGGUUCAAAUCCGGCUCGACGGA
rnacentral:tRNA from 2 species